AUGUCGCGUCGUCUCCACCACACGUUGCUCCGUCCCUACACGUAUGUACCUCACCGCAGUCUUCCAUGCCAUCAAUUCAUCUAUAAGUAUCAGUGGCUAUGGAUCCUCUCCCCGAGCAGAGUCAGUCGACAUCCCUCUGCCACAAUCAUAUCAAGAAUGAAGAAAACACCGACGCCGGCGGACCAGCAGCAGAACAGGCGGCGGUGCUGCCCGCUUCGACGAUCACGCAAGGGGUGCAUGAAGGGCAAGGGAGGGCCAGAAAACCAGCGAUGCCCCUUCCGCGGCGUCCGCCAGCGCACCUGGGGCAGGUGGGUGGCCGAGAUCCGUGAGCCCAACCGCGGCGCCCGCCUCUGGCUUGGCACCUUCGCCACUGCGCUCGACGCCGCACGUGCAUAUGAUGCCGCGGCAAGGGCUCUCUAUGGUGACUGCGCACGCCUCAACCUGGCAGCACCUCCCCUUCCGCCCAUGACCGCGACAGUUCCUCUUCCUCAUGCGCAAGUGCAACAGCCUCCGGCUCAUAGCACCGACACCAACAACACCACUGCAUUGUGCUCCUCAACCUCAACGGCUUCGACGACAACCCCCACUAACUCGGGCACAUUUGACAUUGAGUGGUCUUAUUACAAUGCGGCGGGGGUGUUAGAGUUGGGGGACUUCGAGGCGUAUGUGGCAGGGCUUCCCAAGGCGGAAGACUUUGGGUUGGAGGGGUUUGAGGAGGUGAUGGACGAUUAA
rnacentral:rRNA from 1 species